rnacentral:lncRNA from 1 species
UGUGUGUCUGUGUGUUGAGUGUGAGUGUGUAUGUGUGUGUAGGGGUCGGGGUGGGGGGGUCCGUGUUCGCGAUCUGAACCUUUGGUACCUACAAGGAGGGUGUCUCACCGAACGGUAGCUAAGACCUCACCAGGACCGCGCGAAGUGAGGAGUCGCGUCCAAAGGCGCCCGCCGGAGCCUCGUCUCUGGGCCGGACCCCAACCCGAGCGGCCGAAAGGAACCCCCCGCCCGGAUCACAGCGACAAAAUGAUACCAUCAUUUUUAUGUGACUCAUAUGCAAAACGAAAUACAUUCAUCUCUGAGGUCUGCUGA